CAAAUCCUCAUGGCCCUUACGCCUGGGGCUAGACACGUGCUACAAUGGGCGGCACAAAGCGGGGCGAGCCCGAGAGGGCAGAGCGAAGCGCAGAAAGCCGCCCGUAGUCCGGAUUGAAGUCUGAAACCCGACUUCAUGAAGCUGGAAUCGCUAGUAAUCGCGCAUCAGCAUGGCCGCGGUCGAAUACGUUCCCGGGCCUU
rnacentral:rRNA from 1 species